rnacentral:rRNA from 1 species
CGGAUUGGCGAUUGUACGUCAAAUGCACCAGUUCCUCAUGGAUCACUGUGGUUAGGUAUAACGUUGUGCGUGGUUAGUAUCUGGAUGGGUGACCAUUUGGGCGAUCGCGUGUUGGCUUUU